rnacentral:lncRNA from 1 species
CAAUCAUGAGCAUCUAUCGUAAAACUACAAAUUUGAAAGAGUCUACACAAACUAUUACAUAACUAGGACAAGGGAAAUAAAUAAUGAUAAGAGGGAGGGACACUGGGCUGCGAAUGCCGAACAACUACCUACUUAACUCCGAAGAUUUGCUUGAAGAUAUCAACCCUCGCAAACAGGACUUGAGGCGCCUGAAUCUGCACAGGGGGGUACAGGGAGUAAAGUGAGUACUCCAACUCAGUGAGUAAUAAUAAUAAAUGAAGACUAGGCUAUAAGAAAUCACGUAAAAACACAAUAACAUGCUAUAAAGAAGCAGUAUAAAACUAGUAAAAGCAAUGAAAUAGUGAAAACCCUUAAUGUCCCCUUAGUUCAGUUUAAGAUUCUUUUAAAUACCUUUUUAUUAGUUACGCAGGUAAAUGACAGACAUCUAGAAAAGAUAAACACAUAAAGAACCGUCCCUCGGGCACAAUACCAACAGAAUGAGCCUUUCUAGCAACACAUGGAACAAUCCCAGCCCCUCGGGCUAUAUCUCAUAUCAUAAUGGGUACUCGUGCUCACUGGGGAUGCACAGACUCAUAGAGGGUACCCUUACCGCCCAAGCGUAAUAUCAAUUCAUCUCGUGGUAUAAUCAAUAGGCUCUCGACCUCAUAAUCAUGAAUCAGCUCAAUAACCUCACAACGAAGGUCCUCGUCCUUACUCAAUCAGAAUCUCAUAAGCCACUCGGGCAACAAUUAAACAUGAUGGUCAUCCCAAAUUAUCAUUUAAUGUCUUAAAACAUAGUAAACAUGGUUGAAUUAUAAAAAUAGUAGAUAUGGCAUGACUGCAUACAAUAAUAAAGUCAAAACAGUGAGGAAACAUCGGUAAGAAUCCCAUAAGGGUCCAAAUAGUUGGCACAAGGCCCAAAUAUGGCAUUUAAUCGAAAACAUGAUGAUAGCAAAUAAUUUUCAAUCAAAUAUGCGGUAAAAUCGUCAUUUUGGAUGGACUAAGUCACAAUAUCCAAUGGUGCACGCCCCCACGAUCGUCGUCUAGCAUGUGCGCCACCUCAAUAUAGCACAACGAUAUGUAAUUCGAGGUUUCAUACCCUCAAGACCACAUUUACAAUUAUUACUCACCCUAAAUCGGUCCAAACUCUAGCCCGCGAUGCCUUUGCCUCUCAAAUAGGCCUCUAAAUGCUCCAAAUCUAAUCGAAAUUAGUAUAUUAUCAUCAAUAUAGACAAAAGGAACAAAUCCCAGGCAAAAAUAAUCGAAUUAACUCAAGAAUCUCGAAAUCGCUCAAACCUGGCCCCCGGGCCCACAUCUCGAAAUUCGACCAAAGUCUCAAAUCCGAUAACCCAUUCAAUUACGAGACUAUCCAUACUAGUUUCACUCAACUUUGAAUUCGAAUCGGCUUUCAAAUCCCAAAAUUUUAUUUUAUGAAGUUCCACAGUUUUCCCCAAAAUUUACAUCCUAAAUCUCUACUCAAAUGAUAAAUCCAAUGUUAUAAUCUUGUAUUUUAGCCAAAAUUUAGUUAGAAUCACUUACCGCGAUGGUUUUCUUAUAACUCCCUCAAAAAAUAUCCAAAGCUCGAGCUCUCUAGGUCAAAAUAUGAAAUAAAACCCCAAAUCACGUAUUUAUAGAGCACAUUUCGGAUCCCUAUCACCGCUGACUGAGGUGAAACCACUGCUACAACGAAAAAUAUUGAAUGCAGUGACAUACUUUAGUAUUUUGCCAUAACUUUCUCAAUAGAUGUCCAAAUUAUGAUUUCUUUAGCUUUCUGAAAAUUAGACACGAAGGGCUACAACUGUAGUUUUUGAAUCAUCUUUAAAUUUCUUGUAGAUCAAAAGAUAUAGGCUUCCAAAGUUAGACCAGUGAAACUACUGAUUCUUCCUCACCGUGGACCGCGAACCAUUUUCCGCCCCAACGGUGAAACCACUGUGCCCCGCAGUAAAACAUCAACCCAAGCUGUAAAUUUAAGCACCACAACCAAUGUCUGAGUCUAGGUAAUGCCCGGACUCACUCAAAACUAACCCGAAAUACAACCGAGGCCCUCGUGACCUCAACCCAAACAUACCAACACCUCCCAUAACAUCAUUAAAACUGAGUCAAGCUUUCGAAUCACUCAAUACGAUGCCAAAAUACCAAAUCAACUUCGGAUUCAAGCUGAAGAACAUAGGAACUUUCAAAUUCCACAAACAAUGACGAAACCUAUCAAUUCAACUCAGAAUGACCUAAAAUUUAGCAUACACAUCACACACAACGGACCUAAUGCGACUUCCGAAAUUCCAUUCCGACUACUAUAUCAAAAUCUCAUCUAUUAACCGAAAAACAUCAAAAUUCCAAUUUCGCCAAACUUUCCAUGGACAUCUAAAACACAUUCUGAUCACGCUCCUAAGUCCGAAAUUACCUAACGGAGCUAACCAAAUCACAAAAAUUCCAAUAUGAUAUCAUAUACUAACAAGUCAAAACUUGGUCAAAUCUUUCAAAUUUUAAACUUCAAACUGAGCAAUGUUCUUCCAAAUUCAUUCCGAUUACCCUGAAAAUCAAAACCGACAAUUUACAUAAGUUAUAAUACAUCACACGGGGCUAGUCAUGCCCGAGAACUGGCAAGCAAAGUACAAAAUCUCAAAACGACCGAUCGGAUCGUUAUACUUCUAUAGUGAUCAGAUAAGGGGAUCUAAUAUCCCCUUCCUUGUUUCUGACUGGAGCUGAACUGCUACAUAGAUUGAUGAACAUGCUCCAAGAGAGUGAUUUUAUUCCAUACUUAGCAGAGAAGAAUGAUCCAUUUAUCACCCAUUUGUGUUAUGCAUAUGAUACUAUUCUAUUUUUAUUAGGUAAUUUAAUUUCUCUCGGCUUGAUGAUGGACAAACUAAGAGCAUAUGAAUGUAUAUCUAGUCAGAAAGUCAAUAAAGAAAAAUCCGGCUCCUCACAGUUUGAUGAAGAGAAUGCCAACAACAACAAUUACCCAGUAUAUUCCCACCAAGUGGGGUUUGAUGAAGAGAAUGUCAAUGAUGUCAAAAAUAUUAUUGGCUUUCCACACUUUCAGUUCCCCAUGCAAUAUUUAGGCUGUCCUAUUUACUUGGGAAGGAAGAAAAUUGCCCACUUCAACAACAUGGUGGCCAAAGUCUCUAGAAGAAUGCAAGGUUGGCAAGGGAAACUUCUUUCCUUUGGAGGUAAAAGGAGGUAAAGUCGUUCUAGUAAAAUAUGUUCUUCAAUCUCUCUCGCUUCAUCUUCUAUAUGCCUUGUAUCCCCCCAAAACGGUCUUAUACCAAAUUGAGAGAAUAAUCUCUAAUUUCUUUUGGGGUGAGAUUAAAAAAAAAAAAAGAAAAAGUACACUGGAUAUAAUGAGGUAGAAAUAAGGUACACUGGAUAUAAUGAGCUCAUUUAUGCUAUCCCACCAUUGAAGGAGGAGCUAGUUUUAGGUCUCUAUAUGACACUUGCAGAGCCUUCUCAGCUAAAUUUUGGUGAAAUUUUAGAACCAAAAAAGGAUUGCUAAAGAAUUUUCUAGAGGCAAAGUACUGCAAAAGAAAACAUCCAAUACAUAGAUAGUGGUCAUAUGAUCAAUUUCACACCCGGAAAAAGGCUCAUGGAUACCAAGGAAGGUGCUGAAAAGUUCAUUUUAUGGAAGAUAGGCAAAGAAAAUAUGUCAUUUUGGUAGGAUAAUUGGCCCGGUAGAGGUGCAUUGGCUAAUCUCAAGCAGCUACCUAAUGCAUCUAGACAUACUAAGGUCCUGAAAUUCGUUGAAGAGGGAAGAUGGAAUGUGACCAAGCUUAAGGAAGUCCUCCCCGAUAGUUUCAUUAGCAAUAUUUUGGAGAUUAAGAUUUAUGGGGGUAGCGAAGAUUUGCCAGUUUGGACAGUUGAUUCAAAUGGAGUCUUUACUUGUAAAUCGGCAUGGAAAAAUAUGAGAAAACCAAGGUCCAGAUCUUUCACUGCAUCUAUGGUGUGACACCAGAGAAUUCCUUUCAAAAUCUCAUUUUUCUGUUGAGGAUGAUUCGGUCCCGAUGAAAUAAUUCGGAAAUUUGGUAGAAUGGUUCCGUCCAUGUGAUCCUGCUGUACUAAUCACAAUGAGGAGACUGUGACUCAUCUCUUUUGCAAAAGCCAGAUUGCUACACAAAUUUGGCUAUUCUUUGGUAGAUGUUGAUGCAUUACCUUGAGAAUGGAAAAUAUCAUACAGAUUUUAAUGUCUUGGAGGCUAGCAAAAACAAAGAAUAAAAUCCAUGUUGCUUUGUUACAAUGUCUAUCGUUACUUAUCUGUUAUGAGAUUUGGAAGAGUAGGUGUGCUUCCAUAUUUGAAAAUAUUCACAUGUCCGAAAGGUUUAUAAUUCAGUAAGUUUCUAAAUAUAACUUUCUUUUUAAACAUUCUAUUCCCCAAAGUUAAUCUUCCUCAUCCUUGGCAUGUUUUAUGCACAACAGUGGAGACGACUAGACAGAUCAUUACCAACCAAUUGGUAAGGUGGUAUAAACCUGAUGAUGGAUGGGUAAAAUUAAACAUGGAUGGUUGUUGUAAAAGGAAUCCAGGAAACUUUGGCGGAGGGGGAAUACUCAGAAACAGUCAAGGUGCUUGCAUUUUCGCAUUUGAUAAUUACUUUGGUGUUAGGCACCCUCGGAUCCCGUGGUUCUAGCACGGUCACUUAAAUUGUUAUGAAUGGCUAAAAUCUGAUUUUAAUAUAUGAAGAGCCUAUGUGCCAAUUUUUCUUUUUACCACUUUUAUUUAACAUAAUAUUUAUUUGAGAAAGUCAACGUCGUUUAAAGUGUGUUUUCGGAUUGCGCCGCAUCAAAUGAACCCGCAAUCCUAGGCACACUCUAUUCAACGUUUUAGGAUUUGGAUUUGGGCCGCAAAAAAUGCCCACCCGUAUUUGAGAAUGUAAUUUAUUAAAGUCGCACCUAAUAGAGUCUAACGCGUUGUAAUCUUUUGGGAGGGUCGUGAAAUUCACUAAGCGACCCUUCCCGAUUUCUAAAAUAAUUUUUAAUUGAGGGCCCCACAAUUUGCAUUUUUAUUUGGCGAGGCUCGCCUCAACUCAAAUUUUAAAGGGAUUUUAUUCAACUAAAAUGAACUACGGAUAUUUAUGAAUUAAUUACUUCCUAUGUUUAGGGUUUUCAUAUAACGUUUCCCUUCCAAUCACAAGCAGUACACUCUCAAACGCAUUACACUUGAACUGUAGGCAUGAUAUUCACAACAUGAAUGGUAGUGGUCAGAAUGGUAAUAAGUAAAAUUGGUUUUACUCAUAGUGUGUUUUCUUCAUACUAAACAUUUCCUGGUCCCAUUUUCAAGUUCAUAUGGGAGGCUUAACAUGCAGAUUGGAAUGGAACUUUAAACAUUCAAAUAAAAAUCCAAUUUCACUUUAGUUCCAAGCUAAAACUUGGUUUUCUAUUCACAAUCAAAAAGUAAAUAGAAGAAAAUUUUAACUGAAGUCGGGCAACAAUUUGAACCUAAGCCGUUAUUAGAAUUGCCCAGAAUGUUGACACGAGAUGUUAUCAAAAUUGCAAAUAGGAACAAUUCAUUAAACAAUCAGAGACUAGCUUUACAGAUUGGACCAUAUACACAGUAAAUUACUUCAAUAUUGUUAAACAAAACUGAGAUAAUCCAAUUGGAAACACAAUUUGCGAGUUUAAAGAUAUUUCAAUUUUCCAACCGAACUGAAAUCCAAUAUAUAUUGACAACAUAUUAAAGCAACAGAAAUUCUAAGUUCAGCAGAGGUGUCAAAAUUUCAACCAAAACAUAACACAAGGAAUUUGGGAAAACUGACCUAACUGGAACAACAAUAUCACUAACAAAUUGGCCAAAUAGAGGCGAAAUUCAAGCCGAACCAGAACUCCGUACAGUGCAGCAUAUUAUGACAUUUAAUUGACAAUUAAAGCAAUUACAUUGUUGGAGAUUUGAAGUAAAUACCUUAAUAAGCAGUAAAAUAACUAGAACACCAAGCAAGAGCUGAAAUCAAUGGACUGGACAAAACGGCUACAACAACAUGCAGUGAACUCAACCAGCAAGGAAGUCUUUCAGCUCCGCCAGAUCCGAAAUCGUCCAGAGAACAUUAAAAAAGGAAUCUCAAGCUUUGAAUGGGCGAUGUAGCCUUCUGCUAAUGAAUUUUGUGUUUUCUUCCUUUGGGAUGUUCUGUGGGGUUUCUAGAAAUGACGAUGGAGAGGAAUCCCGUUAUUUCUGUGAUUUUUGUUUUGAUUUUGAGAUUUUUCCUUUUGGUGUUCUGUUCCCCCCGGAGGUUGUGAACGAGAGGGGAGGGGUCUUUUUAAGAUCCGGAGAUGAAGGAAGGGGUCACCAAAAAUCUGGAAGGGGUCACGCUUUUUCGUCUCC